rnacentral:rRNA from 1 species
GAUGAACGCUAGCGGCAGGCCUAACACAUGCAAGUCGAGGGGUAGCAGGAUUAAGCUUGCUUAAUUGCUGACGACCGGCGCACGGGUGCGUAACGCGUAUGCAACCUACCUUAUACUGGGGUAUAGCCCGGAGAAAUUCGGAUUAAUCCCCCAUAGUACUAAUGAAUCGCAUGGUUUAUUAGUUAAAGCAUUGCGGUAUAAGAUGGGCAUGCGUCCUAUUAGCUAGAUGGUGAGGUAACGGCUCACCAUGGCUACGAUAGGUAGGGGGCCUGAGAGGGUGGUCCCCCACACAGGUACUGAGACACGGACCAGACGCCUACGGGAGGCAGCAGUGAGGAAUAUUGGUCAAUGGGCGCAAGCCUGAACCAGCCAUGCCGCGUGCAGGAAGAAUGCCCUAUGGGUUGUAAACUGCUUUUAUUUGGGAAUAAACCUCUUUACGUGUAGAGAGCUGAAGGUACCAAAUGAAUAAGCACCGGCUAACUCCGUGCCAGCCGCCGCGGUAA